GUUGCUUGACUUCUACUUUCAGUUAGGGUAAGAUCCUAACCCUAAACAGCUGUGUUGUUCUCUCCUAUUCAGUUCAUGUUUGAGUCACUCACAGAUUAAAUCCCAGAAAUAAUGGCAGAAGCAGGAAGAAGGAGGCUGGAGGCUCUGCGCUUCAAUAAAAACCAUUUCCGAAUCAUUGCUCUGCUGUUUCUAGUUCACAUUGGACAGUCAAUGGUUUCUGAAGAUCGUCAGCUUAGGAACGAGUUUGUCAAAGACUGGGAGAAAAUGAAAGAAUUUGUCACACACUUCGUAAGUUUCCUUUUUGCUC